CAGCAUCACCUGAAGUUGUGGUUGCUGUCCUAGAGAACUGCAGGAUUGCCGCUCGGAAACGGGGCGACUCAGAUUGAGCACACCAUUUUGCUUUGAAUCACUCUUCCAGAUCUGCUCUGGUUAUUAAGGCUGUAUUCCAAGGGGAAUACACAUAGACAGGACCCACUUUGUGACACAAUGAGUUUUAGAAGGACGCAUCGUAGAGCACCUGGCCGAAGGGCCAGUUUUAACUCAAGCCUCUACUGUUGCCUUCCAUUCUUCGAACAUCAGGACAGAACUGAGGAUCAGACCGAAUAUUCCGAGAGCAGCGUGGAGGAGGAGUUAGCGUUGCAGAAGUCGUCCUUCUGUUCCUC